rnacentral:lncRNA from 1 species
CUCCCUUUGCAACUCUUACCUGAAAAGACACUCAAGGACGCUGUUCUACCAGGCAUGCCUGCUACAAGAACUUGAAAAUGUCACAUUCUAGGGGUCAGAGUCCUGAUCUCCUCAUCCUUCAGAGAACUUGAGUGGUCCUGCCUGCAUCCUUUGAGGAAGUGGAAGAAUCCUCCCCUCCCAACACCAUGCUGCCAAAGGGGGGAAUCAAAGGUAGGCCAUGGACCUUGUCCUGGACAACUGGACCGCUCUCUCCUCAAUGAGUGCACAAAUACAAUGUACUGGGCAAGACUAAGAGAGACACAGGACACACAACAAUGAAAUGUAAUAAGGGACUUUUGGAGACAAUUAUAAAAAAGUG